AAAUUGAAGAGUUUGAUCAUGGCUCAGAUUGAACGCUGGCGGCAGGCCUAACACAUGCAAGUCGAACGGUAACAGGAAGCAGCUUGCUGCUUCGCUGACGAGUGGCGGACGGGUGAGUAAUGUCUGGGAAACUGCCUGAUGGAGGGGGAUAACUACUGGAAACGGUAGCUAAUACCGCAUAAUGUCGCAAGACCAAAGAGGGGGACCUUCGGGCCUCUUGCCAUCGGAUGUGCCCAGAUGGGAUUAGCUUGUUGGUGG
rnacentral:rRNA from 2 species